UAUCCUGAUGAGGUAAUUUGCGAUUGAUUCUGUGCGAUGGCUCUCUCGCCGGAGAUGCUAUAUCAAGCGGAUAUAUGAUAUUCAAUUUCUUACAUAUUCUGAAA
rnacentral:snoRNA from 1 species